rnacentral:rRNA from 1 species
GACGAACGCUGGCGGCGUGCCUAAUACAUGCAAGUCGAGCGGACCACUUCGGUGGUCAGCGGCGGACGGGUGAGUAACACGUGGGCAACCUGCCUGUAAGACUGGGAUAACACCGGGAAACCGGUGCUAAUACCGGAUAAUCCUUUCCUUCACAUGAGGGAAAGCUGAAAGACGGUUUCGGCUGUCACUUACAGAUGGGCCCGCGGCGCAUUAGCUAGUUGGUGAGGUAACGGCUCACCAAGGCAACGAUGCGUAGCCGACCUGAGAGGGUGAUCGGCCACACUGGGACUGAGACACGGCCCAGACUCCUACGGGAGGCAGCAGUAGGGAAUCUUCCGCAAUGGACGAAAGUCUGACGGAGCAACGCCGCGUGAGCGAUGAAGGCCUUCGGGUCGUAAAGCUCUGUUGUCAGGGAAGAACAAGUACCGGAGUAACUGCCGGCACCUUGACGGUACCUGACCAGAAAGCCACGGCUAACUACGUGCCAGCAGCCGCCGCAG